ACAUCCAGAGAAUUUAGCAGAGAUGCUUUAGUGCCUUCGGGAACUCUGAGACAGGUGCUGCAUGGCUGUCGUCAGCUCGUGUUGUGAAAUGUUGGGUUAAGUCCCGNAACGAGCGCAACCCUUAUCCUUUGUUGCCAGCACGUAAUGGUGGGAACUCAAAGGAGACUGCCGGUAGAUAAACCGGGAGGAAGGUGGGGAUGACGUCAAGUCAUCAUGGCCCUUACGAGUAGGGCUACACACGUGCUACAAUGGCGCAUACAAAGAGAAGCGACCUCGCGAGAGCAAGCGGACCUCAUAAAGUGCGUCGUAGUCCGGAUUGGAGUCUGCAACUCGACUCCAUGAAGUCGGAAUCGCUAGUAAUCGUAAAUCAGAAUGUUACGGUGAAUACGUUCCCGGGCCUUGUACACACCGCCCGUCACACCAUGGGAGUGGGUUGCAAAAGAAGUAGAUAGCUUAACCUUCGGGAGGGCGUUUACCACUUUGUGAUUCAUGACUGGGGUGAAGUCGUAACAAGGUAAGCGUAGUGCU
rnacentral:rRNA from 1 species